UACGAAGGGUGCAAACGUUGCUCGGAAUUAUUGGGCGUAAAACGCACGUAGGCGGCUUAGCAAGUCGGAUGUGAAAUCCCUGGGCUCAACCCAGGAACUGCGUCCGAUACUGGAAGGCUUGAAUCCGGGAGAGGGAUGCGGAAUUCCAGGUGUAGCGGUGAAAUGCGUAGAUAUCUGGAGGAACACCGGUGGCGAAGGCGGCAUCCUGGACCGGUAUUGACGCUGAGGCGCGAAAGCCAGGGGAGCAAACGGG
rnacentral:rRNA from 1 species